UACGAAGGGGGCUAGCGUUGCUCGGAAUUACUGGGCGUAAAGCGCACGUAGGCGGAUCUUUAAGUCAGGGGUGAAAUCCUGGAGCUCAACUCCAGAACUGCCUUUGAUACUGAGGAUCUUGAGUUCGGGAGAGGUGAGUGGAACUGCGAGUGUAGAGGUGAAAUUCGUAGAUAUUCGCAAGAACACCGGUGGCGAAGGCGGGUCUCUGGGCCGAUACUGACGCUGAGGAGCGAAAGCGUGGGGAGCGAACAGG
rnacentral:rRNA from 1 species